rnacentral:lncRNA from 1 species
CUUAAACAUUUAAAAUAAUGUUUCAUGCAAAUAUUGCGAAAUGUUUUUACGCAUUUGUUAAUUUCCUGACAAUAGAUGGACAGAAAGGAAAAAACAAAGAUAAAAAAUAGUAACAAAGAUAAAAAAAAUGAGAGAGAUAAAAAGUGUGUUAAAGUAACAUGCAGAAAUACGAAUGUCUCAUGAAUAAAAUAUCAUUCGGCAAAUGCAAGUUGCUUGUCAGCGGCAAACAAUUUACUGACUAUGAUUCACUGAAUGCGAGGAAAGAAUUCUUCGGACGGAAUAGUCUUUGUAGUACAGGUACACCGGCAUUCAAAAGUACGGGCCCUGCAACUCCGCUGGUAACGCCAGGGGGGAGACUAGUGAUCCUAGGACCAGUGUUGAUGUCAGUUUCACCGGCUGUAGUCAAAGCACUAGUGACAGGAGCUUGCACUUGUCCACGCAUAGGACUUCCAAUGGAACUGUUGAAUGAAGGAUGCAAUCCAUGUCUAGGUGAAUUGAUAUUCUGUGAAGUAAUAUCUGAUGACAUUUGACCAUGUGUUGGACUUGUUUUUGGAGAUUCUCUUAUGACAUUGUUAUUAGCAAUAAUGGCCCUAGUAGGAUCACGAUUCGGAGAAUAUAAAGCGUACCUAAUCUCAAGUGUUCCGUGGAGCGAUUUGAAGAGUAAACAGGGGAAUUUCUAGCAGGAAAAUCUGGUCGAUUUUCUUGAUGAUGAUAGUUCCUUUCAUUUUGAGGCAUUGUACGAUUUGGA